rnacentral:rRNA from 1 species
GAGUUUGAUCUUGGCUCAGAUUGAACGCUGGCGGCAGGCCUAACACAUGCAAGUCGAGCGGUAGAGAGAAGCUUGCUUCUCUUGAGAGCGGCGGACGGGUGAGUAAUGCCUAGGAAUCUGCCUGGUAGUGGGGGAUAACGCUCGGAAACGGACGCUAAUACCGCAUACGUCCUACGGGAGAAAGCAGGGGACCUUCGGGCCUUGCGCUAUCAGAUGAGCCUAGGUCGGAUUAGCUAGUUGGUGAGGUAAUGGCUUACCAAGGCGACGAUCCGUAACUGGUCUGAGAGGAUGAUCAGUCACACUGGAACUGAGACACGGUCCAGACUCCUACGGGAGGCAGCAGUGGGGAAUAUUGGACAAUGGGCGAAAGCCUGAUCCAGCCAUGCCGCGUGUGUGAAGAAGGUCUUCGGAUUGUAAAGCACUUUAAGUUGGGAGGAAGGGCAGUAAAUUAAUACUUUGCUGUUUUGACGUUACCGACAGAAUAAGCACCGGCUAACUCCGUGCCAGCCGCCGCCGU